UACGUAGGGGGCGAGCGUUGUCCGGAAUUAUUGGGCGUAAAGAGCGUGUAGGCGGUUCGGUAAGUCUGCCGUGAAAACCUGAGGCUCAACCUCGGGCGUGCGGUGGAUACUGCCGGGCUAGAGGACGGUAGAGGCGAGUGGAAUUCCCGGUGUAGCGGUGAAAUGCGCAGAUAUCAAGUAGAACACCAGUGGCGAAGGCGGCUUUCUGGACUGUAACUGACGCUGAGGCAUGAAAGCGUGGGGAGCAAACAGG
rnacentral:rRNA from 1 species